UCCCUGGUGGCUCAGGUGGUAAAGAAUCUGCCUGUCAAUGCAGAAGACCCAGGUUCGAUUCCUGGAUGGGGAA
rnacentral:tRNA from 1 species